rnacentral:rRNA from 1 species
AUUGAACGCUGGCGGAAUGCUUUACACAUGCAAGUCGAACGGCAGCACGGACUUCGGUCUGGUGGCGAGUGGCGAACGGGUGAGUAACAUAUCGGAACGUAUCCACUAAUGGGGGAUAACGAGUCGAAAGAUUCGCUAAUACCGCAUACGCCCGACGGGGGAAAGCUGGGGACCUCCGGGCCUGGCGUUAAUGGAGCGUCCGAUAUCUGAUUAGAUAGUUGGUGAGGUAAAGGCUCACCAAGGCGACGAUCAGUAGCUGGUCUGAGAGGACGACCAGCCAAACGGGAACUGAGACACGGUCCAGACUCCUAAGGGAGGCAGCAGUGGGGAAUUUUGGACAAUGGGCGCAAGCCUGAUCCAGCCAUUCCGCGUGAGUGAAGAAGGCCUUCGGGUUGUAAACUGCUUUUGUACAGAACGAAAAGGUUUCUACUAAUACUAGGAGCUCAUGACGGUACUGUAAGAAUAAGCACCGGCUAACUACGUGCCAGCAGCCGCGGUAA